rnacentral:rRNA from 1 species
CUGAAUAACUACGCAGAUCGCACGGUCUCGAACCGGCGACAUAUCCUUCAAGUGUCUGCCUUAUCAACUGUCGAUGGUAGUUUACAUGACUACCAUGGUUGUAACGGGUAACGGAGAAUAAGGGUUCGACUCCGGAGAGGGAGCCUGAGAAACGGCUACCACAUCCAAGGAAGGCAGCAGGCGCGCAAAUUACCCACUCUCAGAACGAGGAGGUAGUGACGAAAAAUAACGAGGCAGUUCUCUUUGAGGUCUGCCAUUGGAAUGGGUACAAUCUAAACCCUUUAACGAGUAUCAAUUGGAGGGCAAGUCUGGUGCCAGCAGCCGCGGUAAUUCCAGCUCCAAUAGCGUAUAUUAAAGUUGUUGCGGUUAAAAAG